CCGUAGGGUGAACCUGCGGAAGGGAUCAUUACAGAGUUCAUGCCCGAAAGGGUAGACCUCCCACCCUUGUGUAUUAUUACUUUGUUGCUUUGGCGAGCUGCCUUCGGGCCUUGUAUGCUCGCCAGAGAAUACCAAAACUCUUUUUAUUAAUGUCGUCUGAGUACUAUAUAAUAGUUAAAACUUUCAACAACGGAUCUCUUGGUUCUGGCAUCGAUGAAGAACGCAGCGAAAUGCGAUAAGUAAUGUGAAUUGCAGAAUUCAGUGAAUCAUCGAAUCUUUGAACGCACAUUGCGCCCCUUGGUAUUCCGGGGGGCAUGCCUGUUCGAGCGUCAUUUCAACCCUCAAGCUUAGCUUGGUAUUGAGUCUAUGUCAGUAAUGGCAGGCUCUAAAAUCAGUGGCGGCGCCGCUGGGUCCUGAACGUAGUAAUAUCUCUCGUUACAGGUUCUCGGUGUGCUUCUGCCAAAACCCAAAUUUUUCUAUGGUUGACCUCGGAUCAGGUAGGGAUACCCGCUGAACUUAAGCAUAUCAAUAGGCGGGAGGA
rnacentral:rRNA from 1 species